UAACUUCCUUGUAGAUUUUUCCAUUGCUUUCUUUGUGUGAACCGCCUAUAUAAACUUGGGGUCGAUCAGGGGGCAUCUUGGAGAAACCUUGGAUAUACUGCUGGAUCAUUGCCCACCUGAUCCAUCAUCCUGCAUCCAUCUGCCAUGUGAGGACAUGACGACGGGCACCGUCUUGGGAGCAGAGAGCAGCUGUCACCACACACCAAACCUGCCAGCACCUUGAUCUUGGACUUCCCAGCAUCCAGAGUAUGAGAAAUAAAUAUCUGUUCUUUAUAAGUUGCCCAAUUUCAGGUAUUUUCUUAUAGCAGCACCAAUAGGUGAAGACACAGCAUGAACUGAUGAAGACAGACACAUGAGCCAGAUGUGGUGUGUGCAGACAAGUUCUGGGGUGUGAUACUGUUUUGUAGUUACACUCAGAAACUGUGAAGGACCUAAGACGUUUCUGCAAUUGUAAGCUAACAAGUUAGCCUGCCAUAGUCUCUGGAUGCUGUGGAGACACAAGUCUCCUCGGUCAGAGACAAAUGACUUUUUUACUCAUGCCACAACAGGCAGCAUGAGUUUUAUGAUGUUGGUUUUCCUUCUGCUCCCACCAACGUACCAACACAAGUCAUUGCAGAGAGUCCCAGAGGAGGUUGUACCCACGGUGGGUUUGCCUCACAUCUGAGAGACUCUGAGCUCAAUAAGCACAAUCUAUUAAAAGAGACUGGUGGCAAACUUGUCCAUACUUUAACUGUAUAAAGAGAAGGAGUAAUUAAACUUUAUGUUCAAGGUCCCCAAACAAAUCAUGGGCCAGAGAAGACUGGCACGCAAGGGAAGACUGCGGCAGCUGGGUAGUUUCUUCUUCUCCUUUAACUCUUUGACACAAGCUUAAUGCUACUUGCUGCUCCAUAUGCCUCUUAGCAUCUGGAGAGUGCUGAGGCUCAGCGGCUUCUUCCUUUGGGUCCCGUAAAAAAAAAAGUGACUCCUUUGUCCUUCCAUCUGAUACUGUCUAAAAAGAAAUGACUAUGUUCAGCCUACAUCCGUGAAGUUGGGAGUUACAUUCCACCACCUGGAGGGUAGACAUAGAAUAUCUAUGUAAAUUAUUUGGAUUUCUCCCACAAGGGAGAUUGGUAUCUUCUUCCCCAACUAUUUGUUUUCAAUCAUUCAUUUAUGUCAGAAUGUGCCAUCUACUAUUUUAAACUAUCAAUUCUUGACAUCAUUUUUCUUCCUUUCACUCUUACCCCAUAAUAAUCAUAAUAAAUCAUUCUCCGUCUCUUUGUGUCAUCCCAUUUCUUUUGCCAUACUGUAGACGUGAUCUGGGGGUCUCAGAGAUAGGGAAGAAUUACAUUUUGUGUGGAAGAAUUUCUCAGGGAAGCAGCAGGUCCAUGAGACACACACUUUCCUGAGAGUUCCGCAUGCCUCACACCUAUUUCCUUCUCUUUCCAUGUGAACCUCCUCUGACUCCAAGGCCCAUGGAAAUGAAGAAGCUUCUCCCUAAGUCUCUAACACUAUUUUUGGAAGAGAUCACUACAUAGUUGUUUCCGAUAGGCAAGAACUGGGAUAAACUGUUUAACUCCCCUAGUGUGCAUUGCCAUCGGUACUACAGUUGGAGUGAUAAUUGCAAUUUUGUGGGAGGUGAGGUUUCAGAAUCACAAACCGUUAUCUCAGGGUCUGGCUGUUUCCCUCUCACACGUGUACUAGUGGCCAGGACCGUCACAGUGAGUCCACCACUUUGACAGCAGGCAAGAACUGAAUGAUCAUUUUCUAUAUUAGUCUAAGAGGCCACCUAUAAGUGCAGUAGCAUGUGAGGAACAUGGAGAGUUGCUCAUAUUGGAAAAAGGAUUCUUCUUCAUAGAAAGAGGCCCAAGACUCCUCGGGAUUUAGAAAUAAUUCCCAGGGCUUGUGCUGAGCUUGUGGAGAGAGACUGGGGUCCUCCAAUGUACACCAGUCCCUAAUGCCUCAAUAUAAGUUAAUGUAAUCGACACUCAUAGUGACGUUUGAUGUUUUAUCCUCAUACUAAUAUAGCCUGAUAUUUAAGUUACUCUGUAAUUAUAAUUGUGAAAUUCAUCCACCCUACAAGAAUCACAAACACUACCUUCGGGACAAAAGAAGUGUUAGUAUAAUACUUUUCAUGUAUUAUGAAAUAAUGAUGAAUAAAGAUAACUAAUAAAAUAAUAAUACUGUAGAGAACU